rnacentral:lncRNA from 1 species
AUGAGCGCAGGCAGCGCCGGGCUCCCCGCGGAAGGAAGGCAGCGAGUGGGGGCCCCGCGUCCUCGUCCUCGGCCGGGGCCUGGCAGCGCCGUGGAGGGUGCUCGGCUAGCGUUGCCGCCGGGAACGGGGCCGGGCGCGCGUCUCCGCCGGCGAAGGGGACACCCGGGAGCCGAAGGGGACGCCCGGGAGCCGCCGCUGCCGCCGCCGAGGGUACUGUCUGAUGAGCGUGAAAGGUUGUUUCACCGACUUCCACAUCGACUUUGGAGGCACUUCCGUUUGGUACCAUGUUUUCCGGGGUGGGAAGGUGAGUUUCAGUUGCCUUUAACUUUCUAUGCAUCUCCAGCUGUUUGUGUGGGGAGAGGCUCACUUACCUUUCCCCCUCCUCCCACCUCCCUCCUCCAGCCAGCCCUGCCCCAGGAGUAUUUUCAGGAUUAUUAUUUUUUUUUUUUUUGAGAUGAAGUCUUGCUCUGUUGCCCAGGCUGGAGUGCAGUGGUGCGAUCUUGGCUCACUGCAAGUUCCGCCUCCCAGGUUCACGCCAUUCUCCUGCCUCAGCCUCCUGAGUAGCUGAGGCUACAGGCGCCUGCCACCACGCCUGGCUAAUUUUUUGUAGUUUUAGUAGAGACGGGGUUUCACUGUGUUAGCUGGGAUGGUCUCCAUCUCCUGACCUCGUGAUCUGCCCGCCUUGGCCUCCCAAAGUGCUGGGAUUACAGGCGUGAGCCACCACGCCCAGCUUUAUUUUUAUUUUUUAUUUUUUUAUUUUUAAGAGAUAGGGCCUUGCUCUGUCACCCAGGGUGGAGUGCAGUGGUGCAAUCACAGCUCUCUGUAGCCUCCACCUCCUGGGCUCAAGUGAUCUUCCCACCCCAGCUCCCAAGUAGCUGGGACUAUAGGGAUACACCACCAGGCUCAACUAAUUUAUGUGUGUUUUGUAGAGACAGAGUUUCAGCACGUUGCACAGGCUGUUUUCAAACUCCUGGGCUCACGUGAUCCUCUCGCCUCGGCCUUCCAAAGUGCUGGAAUUGUAGGCGUGGACCAUGGCUCCUGGCCCAGGGUCGCUCCUUCCCCUAGAACCACCUCCUCCUUCUGGAGGGCAAGGUCAAGUUCAGCCCUUUUACAUCACAUCUAGUCACCCAUGCAGGCCUGCUCCGCUCACCCAGUCCGGUGUUCUAAGCCCCUUGGGCCAGAUUUGAAGCUUGGGUUUGGCUUGAGAACGACCAGCAUUCAUCUUCCCUGGCUGUCUUCUUAGCUUCUGCCCUGGGACCUUUUCACUUCAAAGUCUAGUUGCCAGCACCACCUGCCUCCAGGAA